UACGUAGGGGGCGAGCGUUGUCCGGAAUUAUUGGGCGUAAAGCGCGCGCAGGCGGUUCUUUAAGUCUGAUGUGAAAGCCCUCGGCUUAACCGAGGAGGGUCAUUGGAAACUGGAGGACUUGAGUGCAGAAGAGGAGAGUGGAAUUCCACGUGUAGCGGUGAAAUGCGUAGAGAUGUGGAGGAACACCAGUGGCGAAGGCGGCUCUCUGGUCUGUAACUGACGCUGAGGCGCGAAAGCGUGGGGAGCAAACAGG
rnacentral:rRNA from 1 species